rnacentral:lncRNA from 1 species
CGGUCCGGGUUGACAGUUCUGAGGUCUAGUGGCUAGAAGGGAGCUUGUUUCACAAUUUUUUUUCCUUCAGAGUUGACCUUUGGUCCCCAGGUUUUUAAUUUCCCUUUCUCUUUUGGUAGAAAAUGUCAGUCUUGGGCUGGUUUUUUUUGAGCAAUCCAGUCUUGGGUUGGUGGUUUCCCAUCUUCAACAUGGCAUCAAAACAGGUGGAAAGAUGAAUAGUUAGAUUCCAGUUUUUUUGGAGAAAUGUUAGAUUUUAGUUCCCUGGUGGAGGAAAGGUACUUUUGCAGCACUAUGCUGAUGAUGGUGCUUCCUUUUGGAAAAGAAAGGGGACAGUAUAUAUAAGGUGUGUUGUUUUUUCCAAUCACAUUAAGAAAAGAAAAGGAGAAGGAUUUGAGUGACGGUGUGUGAUUUCUUCCUUGCUCAAUCUUGUCUGUUCAUUUGUUUUCCUUUGUGCUGUGGCGAAUUUUUUUUUAUUUUUAGCCCAAAUUCAAAACAUAUUUCAAAUUUGAUCCGGUUUCAAUUUUUUUAAAAAGUAGCCCGUUUGGCCCCGCCACCAUGUAUGGCGGGUCAAAUGAACUAUACUCCGCCAUGCAUGGCGGCGGGGUACAGCUGCCACGUGACAUGCAGCACCGGGGCCUACUGAUGUGUACCCCGCCAUGAUCUAUGGCGGGUUAGGCAUACCCCGCCCCCCAUCAUGGCGGGGCAUAUCCAGGCCCAUUCGUCCGUCCGUGUCAGUAGAGGUCACAUCUUCUUGUUGGCCGUGUUUAGUUCCAGGAUGAAAAAAAUUUUACGACACUAUAGCACUUUCGUUUGUUUGUGGUAAUUAUUGUCAACUAUGGACAAAUUAGACUUAAAAUAGUCAUCUCAUAAAUUUCGACCAAAGUGUGCAAUUAGUUUUUAUUUUCAUCUAUGUUUAAUACUUCAUGCACGCGUCUAAAGAUUCAAUGCGACAGAGAAUCUUGAAAAAAAUUGGAUUUUGGGAUAGACGUGGGCUUUGUCUAAAGAUUCAGACCUUGUUUAGUUCUAAAAUUUUUUGAGAAAUCGACAAUGUAACAGUUUCGUUUGUAUUUGAAAAAUAUUGUCCAAUCAUAGAUUAACUAGGCUCAAAAGAUUCAUCUUGUCAAUUCCGACCAACCUGUGCAAUUAGUUUUUAUUGUCGUCUAUAUUUAAUACUUUAUGCAUGUAUCUAAAGAUUCGAUGUGAUGAAGAAUCUAAAAAAUUUUCCAAAACUUUUUAGAACUAAACAAGACCUCACUGGUUGUC